rnacentral:rRNA from 1 species
CCUACGGCGUGCAGCAGUGGGGAAUAUUGGACAAUGGGCGAAAGCCUGAUCCAGCCAUGCCGCGUGUGUGAAGAAGGCCUUCGGGUUGUAAAGCACUUUCAGUGGGGAAGAAAGCCUUGGGGCUAAUACCCUCGAGGAAGGACAUCACCCACAGAAGAAGCACCGGCUAACUCCGUGCCAGCAGCCGCGGUAAUACGGAGGGUGCGAGCGUUAAUCGGAAUUACUGGGCGUAAAGCGCGCGUAGGCGGUCUGAUAAGCCGGUUGUGAAAGCCCCGGGCUCAACCUGGGAACGGCAUCCGGAACUGUCAGGCUAGAGUGCAGGAGAGGAAGGUAGAAUUCCCGGUGUAGCGGUGAAAUGCGUAGAGAUCGGGAGGAAUACCAGUGGCGAAGGCGGCCUUCUGGACUGACACUGACGCUGAGGUGCGAAAGCGUGGGUAGCAAACAGGAUUAGAUACCCUAGUAGUC